GAUGAACGCUGGCGGCGUGCCUAAUACAUGCAAGUCGAGCGAACAGACGAGGAGCUUGCUCCUCUGACGUUAGCGGCGGACGGGUGAGUAACACGUGGAUAACCUACCUAUAAGACUGGGAUAACUUCGGGAAACCGGAGCUAAUACCGGAUAAUAUAUUGAACCGCAUGGUUCAAUAGUGAAAGACGGUUUUGCUGUCACUUAUAGAUGGAUCCGCGCCGCAUUAGCUAGUUGGUAAGGUAACGGCAUACCAAGGCGACGAUGCGUAGCCGACCUGAGAGGGUGAUCGGCCACACUGGAACUGAGACACGGUCCAGACUCCUACGGGAGGCAGCAGUAGGGAAUCUUCCGCAAUGGGCGAAAGCCUGACGGAGCAACGCCGCGUGAGUGAUGAAGGUCUUCGGAUCGUAAAACUCUGUUAUUAGGGAAGAACAAAUGUGUAAGUAACUAUGCACGUCUUGACGGUACCUAAUCAGAAAGCCACGGCUAACUACGUG
rnacentral:rRNA from 1 species